CCUUCGGGUUGUAAAGCACUUUCAGUAGGGAGGAAGGUAGUGUAGUUAACACCUGCAUUAUUUGACGUUACCUACAGAAGAAGCACCGGCUAACUCCGUGCCAGCAGCCGCGGUAAUACGGAGGGUGCGAGCGUUAAUCGGAAUUACUGGGCGUAAAAGCGCAUGCAGGCGGCCUGUUAAGUCAGAUGUGAAAGCCCGGGGCUUAACCUCGGAAUUGCAUUUUGAAAACUGGCAGGCUAGAGUCUUGUAGAGGGGGUAGAAUUUCAGGUGUAGCGGUGAAAUGCGUAGAGAUCUGAAGGAAUACCAGUGGCGAACGGCGGCCCCCCUGGACAAAGACUGACGCUCAGAUGCGAAAGCGUGGGGAGCAAACAGGAUUAGAUACCCCUGGUAG
rnacentral:rRNA from 1 species